UACGUAGGGGGCAAGCGUUGUCCGGAUUUAUUGGGCGUAAAGAGCGUGUAGGCGGCCAUUCAGGUCAGCUGUGAAAACUCGAGGCUCAACCUCGAGACGUCGGUUGAAACCGUUUGGCUAGAGUCCGGAAGAGGAGAGUGGAAUUCCCGGUGUAGCGGUGAAAUGCGCAGAUAUCGGGAAGAACACCCGUGGCGAAGGCGGCUCUCUGGGACGAUACUGACGCUGAGACGCGAAAAGCGUGGGGGAGCGAAACAGG
rnacentral:rRNA from 1 species